UGGGGAAUCUUGCACAAUGGGGGAAACCCUGAUGCAGCGACGCCGCGUGAGCGAUGAAGGAUUUCGGAUCGUAAAGCUCUGUCCUAUGGGAAGAUAAUGACGGUACCAUAGGAGGAAGCCCCGGCUAACUACGUGCCAGCAGCCGCGGUAAUACGUAGGGGUCGAGCGUUGUCCGGAAUUACUGGGCGUAAAGGGUUCGCAGGCGGCAUGAAAAGUCCGAUGUAAAAGGCGAAAGCUCAACUUUCGUAAGCAUCGGAAACUGUCAAGCUUGAGUGAAGGAGAGGCAAGUGGAAUUCCUAGUGUAGCGGUGGAAUGAGUAGAUAUUAGGAGGAAUACCGGUGGCGAAGGCGACUUGCUGGACUUCAACUGACGCUGAGGAACGAAAGCGUGGGUAGCAAACAGG
rnacentral:rRNA from 1 species